rnacentral:rRNA from 1 species
UACGUAGGGGGCGAGCGUUGUCCGGAAUUAUUGGGCGUAAAGCGCGUGUAGGCGGCUUGGUAAGUCCGCUGUGAAAAACUCGGGGCUCAACCCCGAGCCUGCGGUGGAUACUGCCUCGCUUGAGUCCGGGAGGGGAGAGCGGAACUCCUAGUGUAGCGGUGAAAUGCGCAGAUAUUAGGAAGAACACCAGUGGCGAAGGCGGCUCACUGGUCCGGUACUGAC